ACUUCGUCAUCUUCUUCAAACGCCUAUGCCUCUCGUCCAUCCAGGGCGCCGACUAAACACAAUUAGUCAGGUUCUUCUUCAGUAGCUCCAAAGAUCAAGGUAUUCUUUCUCCUUCAUCCCCAAAAUGCUUGAUUAAGGUAUUUUCUCCGAAUUUCGUAUUUCUUCGUCUUUGAUUUUUCUAUAAUUGUAGUCAUCAAUGUCGACUCCAUCGCCUCGUGUUAGACCCUCAGCUGAUCCAGGUUGGGAUUAUGGCCAACCACUAGUAAAUGAUAGAAACAGUGUGAAAUGUGAUCUGUGUGGUGUGAUCACAAGAGCUGGGAUUUUUAGGCAUAAGAAACAUCUUCUUGGUGGUUUUAAAGAUGUUACACUUUGUACUAAUGUUACUAAAGAAAUUCAAGAUAGAAUUAGGAAAUUCAUGGAUGAACAAUCAUCUAAGAAGAAAGAAAAGGAAAUAAUUACACCUGCGCCGCUGCCGUUGCGGCAAAUUGAGGGAUCUAAGAAACAAAUUGUAGUCUAUAAUGAUGGUGGUUGUGGUAGUGGUGGUGGUAGUAGCAAUACGCCGCCGCCGCGGGUGACUAGGGAGGUAGUGAAUUCUGUUGUUGGUGCUGGUGCUGGUGAAUUGGGUGAGAAAGGUGAAAUUAGGGAAUUUUUGGAAAAGGAUGUGGGCAAUGGUGAUGGGAAUAGAGAGAGUGCAUGUGAAGUCAUUGCUAAUUUUUUCUAUGAGAAUGGGAUUUCAUUUGAUGUUGUGAGAAGUAAGAGUUUUGGUAAGAUGAUUGCGGCGGUUGGGGAGUUUGGUGCUGGGCUUAAACCGCCUUCGUAUGAGGAGUUGGCGGGUGGAAUGUUGGAGAAGAAGGUGAAGGGGGUGAGGGAAUGGAUUGAUGGGUUAAAGAUACAUUGGAAGAUUUAUGGGUGUUCUAUUAUGUGUGAUUGGUGGAAUGGAGAGAAUGGGUUAACGAUUAUCAAUUUUCUUGUGAAUUGUCCUAGAGGGACAGUUUUUUGGAAGUCGAUUGAUGCUACUGAACGGGUUAAGACGGCAGAGGGUGUGCUUGAGAUGUUGAAAGAGGUUAUCGGAGAAGUUGGUGCAGAAAAUGUUGUACAGGUGGUUACAGAUAAUGCGCCAAAUUUCAAAUGUGCUGGAAAGUGGUUGAUGGAACAAAUAAAGGUUGUUUGGACUCCAUGUGCAUCACACUGUGUGAAUUCGAUGUGUAAAGAAAUCUCUGAGGUGAAAAAAGUUGCUGAGGUUGUGAUGAAAUGCAGAAGAAUUACAGUAUUUAUGUACAACGAUGAUGAUGUGCUACAUAUGAUGAGAAAGUUCAUUAGUGGAGGAGAUUUAACGAGACCGAGUGUCAAUAGUUUCACUACUUCUUUCUUGUCGAUGGAAAGUAUUCUCAACCAAAAUUGUGGUCUAAAGGCAAUGAUGAAUUCAGAUGAAUGGACAAAAAGCAAAUACGCAAAUGAGGAUGACGGGAAGAGAGUAACUAGGAUACUAAAGGAGUCUAGUUUCUGGUGCGAUUUGCAAUUUUGUGUAAGAAUGUUGAAACCGUUGGUGGAUGUUGUUCGGAUAAUGUAUUUGGACGAAGAGCCUUCAAUGGGAAAUAUCUACCAUGCAAUGGAUAAGAUGCGAAAGAAGAUUUUAUGUCUUCUAUUAGGUGAGCCGAAGCACAGUGCAAGUUUGAAUAGAGUGUUGAAGAUUGUUGAUACUCAUCGGAUGGAUCAACUACGUCAACCUUUAUAUGCAGCUGGCUAUUAUCUCAAUCCUAGCAUUUACUUUACUAUUCAAUCUGAACAUGAAAAGAGUUUGGAAGGCAAUGCUGAUAUUAAAAGAGGUUUAAUGGAUUCUAUAAACAUGCUUUAUCCAGAUGAAGUGAAGCAAGAUAAGAUUAUUGAUCAAUUGGUGGUUUAUCGAUCAGCUGAAGGCAUGAUGGGUGACCCAGCAGCGGUAAGGAAACGGGAAACAACCUCCCCAUCUGAGUGGUGGGUUACUUGGGGAUCUGAAGUGCCAGAACUUCAAGAGUUUGCGAGAAAGGUGCUCGGUCUUACUUGUUCCGCAUCUCCGUACGAAACAAAUUGGAGUGCCUUUAAUAGUUUGCAUUCGAAGAAAAGGAACAAGCUAGAGCAUCAAAAGUUGAAUGACCUUGUCUUUGUUACGUACAACACUAAACUUAGAACUCGUUACUUGGACCGAACUAGCUUGGUGAGAAAAUAUACAGAGCCUAUUGUUUUGGAAGAUACGGAGGAAGCAUGUGCAAAGUGGCUUGUACCUUUCGGUGCAAACGAUAAGCAUUUAUGUGGUGAGGAUGAUAUUACUUUGGGGGAUGUUGAAGAAGCGAAAGGAAAUGAAGAAUCUGGGGGUCAAACAACUACGAUAUUGUAUAAGAAGAGAGUCUUAGGAAACAUGAGUACGGGUACGAGUAAAAUCAAAAAGAGAUAAAGGAACCAAUCUACUUGAUCGCAAAAGUUGGCAUAGGAGGAAAAGUAAGUUAGCUCAUGCCUACUUAGCAGAAGUGUAUAUUAUUAAUGUGAAGUUGCUGGAGAACACUGGUCCGCAGCUAUCAUUCUGAAACCAUUGAUCAUGUAUUGUAAGCGGCCGAGGAACCUAAAUUGUGAUUUUUACAUCUCCCCUGAAGUUUCGGCUCAGCCAUAUAGAUAACUCUAAUCUUGCUCGUUAUAUUCUGAGCUAGCAUCAUAUAAACAUCAGCUCCUUGGGAUUCUAUCAUGGGCGCAUGCAUUCUAUGGAGUAUUUCAAAGGCUCGAUACAAGAUAAAAUUGAAUCACCGAAAGUUGCUGGAUGGAAUGCCAAAAAGUUGUGGAAUUCCACCUAAAAAAUGGAGAACAGCAGGCAACUCUAUUAUUGAACUAGAAAACAGUGAAGUUGAUGUUAGAAUAAGGAAUAAUGGGACAUAUAAGCGAACAAGGAGGUUGUUCCCAGGGUAUAGAGUUAUGAGGAGCUGCAGAGACGGUUGAAAUCCUAUCCUGGUAAUCUCCUUCUCCCUCUGGAUUACAGAAACAUUUUCAAAUGGAGCAGGCAACUAUAUUGAUGCCAGGUAUAUUUCUCAGAUGUUGUUUGAGGGCUCAACCCAUUAACAGUUGGGUCCUGCAAUUUUGAGGACCCAUAGUUUCGUCUUCAAUUUUUUAGGUAAUUGGAUAAAUGAUACUGUCAAGUGUAGGCUGGGAUUUGUAGGUUUUUCCCUCAGAAUGUGGAGGACUGGAAGGGAAUGAAUGUUUAUAUUUACAUACCAGUAUGAAUAUGGCACAUUGGUAAAAUUAUGCAAGUUUUAUAAAUUCUGAAGGUGAUCGGUAAUGCUCUAAGCCACCCUUGUGCGAUAUCAAUGUCUGAUCGAUGUUCAUGAAACAGUACAGAAAUCCCUGAAGCUUUUUAAACGUUGUUCAUCUUUGUCUUCUUUUAUGCUGUGAAUUUAUUUUGUCAUUACGGAACAAAAUUAAAAAGAUUACGCAUCAAUUCCUUUUUAAGUUGCAGUUAAAUUGCUCAGAACAAUUGCAAAAAGCUUCACUUUCCAAAAAGAUCCGUCAAGCAGUAAAUAUUUCAUCCAUUUGUAGAUACAUUUCCGUAACCGAUUCUGAGAGUAAUCUAAAUUAUAUUUUCUAGCGAGUAAUUUUUCACGGCAAUCAGCUACUGCUGCCUUUCUUCCUUGAUUUUGCAGGGCUUAUGUUCUGGAACCGCGUCUGCAAUCCUCUGGUACACCCAACGUAAAAUGUUUUGCCCGGUCGCUGCUGUGAAAUUGUUGGUUGUGAUGAUACACCACCCUCAUCCAUCUUACAAGUAACCUCAACUCUGAUGACGCAUGUAUAAUUCACCAGAUAUUCUUUAGCAGGGUCAUGUAGCUGACUAAGACGCAUGAAGUUUGAUAUACCCCGGCCAUCAUUCGAGGUGAAAUGAUACUCUAGUUCUGAGAAAAAUGCAAAGAAAAGACAGUUUUCGUAAGGUACAAGAAUAUAAUUUAGCUAAUCACCAUACAGAACAUGUAAUACAAUACCACGUUUCUUGGUGUUAGUGGGAUCAGUUUGACGAGUAACGGAGAGACUGAAUUCCGCUUGCACUGAUUUAGUCCAGGCGACCGGAACAAGUCCAUGUGAUAGGUGAUUAUAAACUUUCCCUACUCCCUUGGGAUAAAUGUUUACCCUCCUAUUAGUGAAAACUUAAGAGAAUGAACCGAAGCAGCAGUAGAUAAAAUUCAAAACCAAAGUAAUUAGCAGCAUGGCUUACCAUUUGGAACUGCCAACAGAGUAAACAUCAGAACGAUGACCUUCAUGAGCAUUCAAAUUUGAAAAGUUUUCGAUCGUCCAACUGAAUUUCGUGGAUAAAUAUGUAGAAACUUCCCCUAUUCUUGAUGUCAUUUUCAGCAGUAGAAUUAGAAAGAGGUAAAUAGAAGCAGACUCAGACUCUCAGCUGAGCUAAAUUUAAAUAUAUAUAAAACGGUGGCGCCAUAAUUGGGCGGGAAAAAGAGCGGGAAAUUCAAAUUCAAGACUGAUGUGAUUUCUGAAUUCUGUCUUUACAAAUAGUACCGGGCACGUGCAUAGAUAAUGACUGAAUGAAUCGGUGCAGCAACUCGUCCAACU